ensembl:piRNA 21ur-3381 ncRNA
UGCUCUGGACAGAACGUUAGU